GUUGCCGGUCAUAGGAGAGGGGGAAACACCCGUACCCAUCCCGAACACGGAAGUUAAGCCCCUCUCCGUUCACGGGAGUAGUGCCCUCGGGGCGCGAAACCGUGGAGCUGGCAACC
rnacentral:rRNA from 1 species